rnacentral:rRNA from 1 species
UGUAGUCUGCAACCCGACUACACGAAGCUGGAAUCGCUAGUAAUCGCGGAUCAGAAUGCCGCGGUGAAUACGUUCCCGGGUCUUGUACACACCGCCCGUCACACCAUGGGAGUCAGUAACGCCCGAAGCCGGUGACCCAACCUAUUCUGGAGGGAGCCGUCGAAGGCGGGACGGAUGACUGGGGGUGAAGUCGUAACAAGGUACC